AUUGAACGCUGGCGGCAGGCCUAACACAUGCAAGUCGAACGGUAACAGGGAUCAGCUUGCUGAUUCACUGACGAGUGGCGGACGGGUGAGUAAUGUCUGGGAAACUGCCUGAUGGAGGGGGAUAACUACUGGAAACGGUAGCUAAUACCGCAUAACGUCGCAAGACCAAAGAGGGGGACCUUCGGGCCUCUUGCCAUCGGAUGUGCCCAGAUGGGAUUAGCUAGUAGGUGGGGUAACGGCUCACCUAGGCGACGAUCCCUAGCUGGUCUGAGAGGAUGACCAGCCACACUGGAACUGAGACACGGUCCAGACUCCUACGGGAGGCAGCAGUGGGGAAUAUUGCACAAUGGGCGCAAGCCUGAUGCAGCCAUGCCGCGUGUAUGAAGAAGGCCUUCGGGUUGUAAAGUACUUUCAGCGGGGAGGAAGGGAGUAAAGUUAAUACCUUUGCUCAUUGACGUUACCCGCAGAAGAAGCACCGGCUAACUCCGUG
rnacentral:rRNA from 1 species